rnacentral:ncRNA from 1 species
CUAUGCUGGUGCUGUCGUUGCACAUCAGCGAUGCGGGUGUGGAAGCCCGGACA